rnacentral:rRNA from 1 species
UACGAAGGGUGCGAGCGUUGUUCGGAAUUAUUGGGCGUAAAGGGUUCGUAGGCGGGAUUGUAAGUCAAGUGUGAAAUCCCCGAGCUUAACUCGGGACGUGCAUUUGAAACUGUGAUUCUUGAGUCAUUGAGAGGGUGGUGGAAUUGUUGGUGUAGGAGUGACAUCCGUAGAGAUCAACAGGAACAUCAGAGGCGAAAGCGGCCACCUGGCAAUGUACUGACGCUGAGGAACGAAAGCGUGGGGAGCAAACAGG